rnacentral:tmRNA from 1 species
GUCGGCGCAAGCCGACUAUGGUGAUAAACGGACGGUGUAAUAAACCCAUUGGACCCGGGGGCGGUACCCGGCGCCUCCACCAAAGCACAGCUUGCCGAUCAGGCUGUGUUGUGGCGGGGGCGAAACAGGAUCGACAAGGGUGUAAAGAUCGCUCUUUUACUCGGCAUGAUACCACCGUUA